AACGAGCGCUGGCGGCAGGCUUAAUACAUGCAAGUCGAGCGCUGUAGCAAUACAGAGCGGCAGACGGGUGAGUAACGCGUGGGAAUGUGCCCUUUGGUCAGGAAUAACACAGGGAAACUUGUGCUAAUACCAGAUAAGCCCGAAAGGGGAAAGAUUUAUCGCCAAAGGAUCAGCCCGCGUUGGAUUAGCUAGUUGGUGAGGUAAUGGCUCACCAAGGCUACGAUCUAUAGCUGAUCUGAGAGGAUGAUCAGCCACACUGGGACUGAGACACGGCCCAGACUCCUACGGGAGGCAGCAGUAGGGAAUAUUGGACAAUGGGGGAAACCCUGAUCCAGCCAUGCCGCGUGAGUGAUGAAGGCCUUAGGGUUGUAAAGCUCUUUUACCUGGGAAGAUAAUGACUGUACCAGGAGAAUAAGCCCCGGCUAACUUCGUGCCAGCCGCCGCGGUAA
rnacentral:rRNA from 1 species